rnacentral:rRNA from 1 species
AUGAAUGUUUUGGCCUGGAACUGUCGAGGACUGGGGUUGGACUCGACGGUAGGCGAACUGAGAGACCUGGUACGGUCUUACAACCCAGCGGUGGUGUUCUUAUCAGAGACAAAGAAGAGUGCAAACGCGAUGGGAAGACUCAUAUGGAGCCUUGGAUUUUCGCAAGGUGUGGCGGUGAGCUGUGCGGGUAAGAGUGGAGGUUUGGCGCUGUGGUGGAGAGAUCAUGUGAAGGUGAUAGUUAGACCUUGGUGUCAAUACUACAUAGACUGUCAAAUGGAGAUGGAUGGGCGGAUCUAUAGGUUCACUGGAAUCUAUGGGGAGCCAUGCGUGGAAAUGAGGAAUAAAACUUGGGAAGCUUUGAGGUAUUUGAGGAAACAAGAUGAUCUUCCGUGGAUAUGUGUGGGAGACUAUAACGAGGCAAUGGUGCAGAAAGAACAAAUUGGAGGCAAGGCUAGAUGCAUCCGACAGAUGGAUGAGUUUAGAGACUGUUUAGCUGAUUGUGGACUUGCGGAUAUUGGAUUCUCGGGGUACCCAUUCACAUGGGAUAACAAGAGGGAAGGAGGGGAAAAUAUAUAG